rnacentral:rRNA from 1 species
GUCGGGAGUUAGGAAAUGUAGACUCGCUAAUAUCGGGUCUAUUUGACAAAGGCUCCAAAGGAAGCCACGGCUAACUCUGUGCCAGCAGCCGCGGUAAUACAGAGGUGGCAAGCGUUGUUCGGAAUUAUUGGGCGUAAAGAGCACGUAGGUGGAUUUGUAAGUCAGACGUGAAAGCCUUCUGUUCAACGGAAAAAUUGCAUCUGAAACUACAAACCUUGAGUGUAGGAGGGGAGAGUGGAACUUCUGGU